UACGUAGGGUGCAAGCGUUAUCCGGAAUUAUUGGGCGUAAAGAGCUCGUAGGCGGUUUGUCGCGUCUGCUGUGAAAACUGGGGGCUCAACCCCCAGCCUGCAGUGGGUACGGGCAGACUAGAGUGAUGUAGGGGAGACUGGAAUUCCUGGUGUAGCGGUGAAAUGCGCAGAUAUCAGGAGGACACCGAGUGGCGAAGGCAGGCUCUGGGCAUUAACUGACGCUGAGGAGCGAAAGCAGUGGGG
rnacentral:rRNA from 1 species